rnacentral:rRNA from 1 species
GAAUUCAACUCCUACGGGAGGCAGCAGUGGGGAAUUUUGGACAAUGGGCGCAAGCCUGAUCCAGCAAUGCCGCGUGAGUGAAGAAGGCCUUCGGGUUGUAAAGCUCUUUUGUCAGGGAAGAAACGGUGGGAGCUAAUAUCUCCCACUAAUGACGGUACCUGAAGAAUAAGCACCGGCUAACUCUGUGCCAGCAGCCGCGGUAAUACAGAGGGUGCAAGCGUUAAUCGGAAUUACUGGGCGUAAAGCGCGCGUAGGUGGUUUGUUAAGUUGGAUGUGAAAGCCCCGGGCUCAACCUGGGAACUGCAUCCAAAACUGGCAAGCUGGAGUACGGUAGAGGGUGGUGGAAUUUCCUGUGUAGCCGUGAAAUGCGUAGAUAUAGGAAGGAACACCAGUGGCGAAGGCGACCACCUGGACUGAUACUGACACUGAGGUGCGAAAGCGUGGGGAGCAAACAGGAUUAGAUACCCGAGUAGUCCAGGCGUU